rnacentral:rRNA from 2 species
UCGUGAGACAGUUCGGUCCCUAUCUGCCGUGGGCGCUGGAGAAUUGAGGGGGGCUGCUCCUAGUACGAGAGGACCGGAGUGGACGCAUCACUGGUGUUCGGGUUGUCAUGCCAAUGGCACUGCCCGGUAGCUAAAUGCGGAAGAGAUAAGUGCUGAAAGCAUCUAAGCACGAAACUUGCCCCGAGAUGAGUUCUCCCUGAGACUAUAAGUCUCCUGAAGGAACGUUGAAGACUACGACGUUGAUAGGUCGGGUGUGUAAGCGCAGCGAUGCGUUGAGCUAACCGAUACUAAUGAACCGUGAGGCUUAACCUUACAACGCCGAAGCUGUU